rnacentral:rRNA from 1 species
CCUACGGGAGGCAGCAGUGGGGAAUUUUGGACAAUGGGCGCAAGCCUGAUCCAGCAAUGCCGCGUGAGUGAAGAAGGCCUUCGGGUUGUAAAGCUCUUUUGUCAGGGAAGAAACGGCAGUUUCUAAUACAGAUUGCUAAUGACGGUACCUGAAGAAUAAGCACCGGCUAACUACGUGCCAGCAGCCGCGGUAAUACGUAGGGUGCAAGCGUUAAUCGGAAUUACUGGGCGUAAAGCGUGCGCAGGCGGUUUUGUAAGUUUGUCGUGAAAUCCCCGGGCUCAACCUGGGAAUGGCGAUGAAGACUGCAAGGCUAGAAUCUGGCAGAGGGGGGUAGAAUUCCACGUGUAGCAGUGAAAUGCGUAGAGAUGUGGAGGAACACCGAUGGCGAAGGCAGCCCCCUGGGUCAAGAUUGACGCUCAUGCACGAAAGCGUGGGGAGCAAACAGGAUUAGAUACCCUGGUAGUCCACGCCCUAAACGAUGUCUACUAGUUGUCGGGUUUUAAUUAACUUGGUAACGCAGCUAACGCGUGAAGUAGACCGCCUGGGGAGUACGGUCGCAAGAUUAAAACUUAAAGGGAAUUGACGG